rnacentral:rRNA from 2 species
CAACUUUCAGCAAUGGAUCUCUUGGCUCUCGCAUCGAUGAAGAACGCAGCGAAAUGCGAUAAGUAAUGUGAAUUGCAGAAUUCAGUGAAUCAUCGAAUCUUUGAACGCACCUUGCGCUCCUUGGUAUUCCGAGGAGCAUGCCUGUUUGAGUGUCAUUA